rnacentral:rRNA from 1 species
AGAGUUUGAUCCUGGCUCAGAUUGAACGCUGGCGGCAUGCCUUACACAUGCAAGUCGAACGGCAGCACGGGAGCAAUCCUGGUGGCGAGUGGCGAACGGGUGAGUAAUAUAUCGGAACGUGCCCAGUUGUGGGGGAUAACUGCUCGAAAGAGCAGCUAAUACCGCAUACGACCUGAGGGUGAAAGCGGGGGAUCGCAAGACCUCGCGCAAUUGGAGCGGCCGAUAUCAGAUUAGCUAGUUGGCGGGGUAAAAGCCCACCAAGGCGACGAUCUGUAGCUGGUCUGAGAGGACGACCAGCCACACUGGGACUGAGACACGGUCCAGACUCCUACGGGGGGCAGCAGUGGGGAAUCUUGCGCAAUGGGGGAAACCCUGACGCAGCAACGCCGCGUGGGUGAUGAAGGCCUUCGGGUCGUAAAGCCCUGUCAGGUGGGAAGAAACAUGUCGAUGUCAAUAACGUCGGCAUUUGACGGUACCACCGGAGGAAGCACCGGCUAACUCCGUGCCAGCAGCCGCGGUAAUACGGAGGGUGCAAGCGUUGUUCGGAAUUAUUGGGCGUAAAGCGCGUGUAGGCGGUCGGGUAAGUCAGAUGUGAAAGCCUUCCGCUCAACGGAAGAAGUGCAUUUGAAACUGCUCGGCUGGAGUACGGGAGAGGAGAGUGGAAUUCCCGGUGUAGAGGUGAAAUUCGUAGAUAUCGGGAGGAACACCAGUGGCGAAGGCGGCUCUCUGGUCCGAUACUGACGCUGAGACGCGAAAGCGUGGGGAGCAAACAGGAUUAGAUACCCUGGUAGUCC